UACAGAGACCUCAAGCGUUAUCCGGAAUCAUUGGGCGUAAAGCGUACCGAUAGGUUGUUUUACAAGUCAGGGGUGAAAUCUCAAGGCUCAACUUUGAGACUGUCUCUUGAAACUGUAAAACUAGAGGGGUAAAGAGGAAGCUGGAACGAACGGUGUAGUAGUGAAAUGCGUUGAUAUCGUUCGGAACACCGAUAGCGAAGGCAGGCUUCUGGGUACCACCUGACACUGCUAGGACGAAAGCGUGGGGAGCGAAUGGG
rnacentral:rRNA from 1 species